rnacentral:rRNA from 1 species
AACGAACGCUGGCGGCAGGCCUAACACAUGCAAGUCGAGCGAGGACUUCGGGUCUAGCGGCGGACGGGUGAGUAACGCGUGGGAAUGUGCCCUUCUCUACGGAAUAGCCCUGGGAAACUUGGAUUAAUACCGUAUACGCCCUUUUGGGGAAAGAUUUAUCGGUGAAGGAUCAGCCCGCGUUGGAUUAGGUAGUUGGUGGGGGAAUGGCCUACCAAGCCGACGAUCCAUAGCUGGUGUGAGAGGAUGAUCAGCCACACUGGGACUGAGACCCGGCCCAGACUCCUACGCGAGGGAGCAGUGGGGAAUCUUAGACAAUGGGGGCAACCCUGAUAAAGCCAUGCCGGGUGAGUGAUGAAGGCCUUAGGGUUGUAAAGCUCUUUCAGCUGGGAAGAUAAUGACGGUACCAGCAGAAGAAGCCCCGGCUAACUCCGUG